rnacentral:rRNA from 1 species
GGGUAGGGCCGCAAUUACCCAAUUCCUAACAGUUUGAGAAGGAAGGUAGUAACAAGAAAUAACAAUACAAGGCAGUUAAAAUGCUUUGUAAUUGGAAUGAUAGAAAUUUAAACCCUUUUUAAAGUAUCAAUUGGAGGGCAAGUCUGGUGCCAGCAGCCGCGGUAAUUCCAGCUCCAAUAGCGUAUAUUAAAAUUGUUGCAGUUAAAAAGCUCGUAGUUGAAGUUCUGCUGAAAGUAACCGGUCUGCUUUUAAUAAAAGUGGUAUCUUGGUAUGUAUUUAGCAAUGAUGUCCUUUGAAGUGUUUUUUACUUUAUUGUAAUAAAGCAUAUUCAGGACUUUUACUUUGAGAAAAUUAGAGUGUUUCUAGCAGGCUAACGCUUUGAAUACUGCAGCAUGGAAUAAUAAGAUAGGAUUUUAGUUCUACAUUAUUGGUUUUAAGAGCUAAAUUAAUGAUUGAUAGGGACAGUUGGGGGCAUUCGUAUUUAAAA